rnacentral:misc_RNA from 1 species
CAUUAUCACCUUCCUCUAUUGAUUUUUUUUUCUAGCUUUCAAGUAGUUCUGUUCUCCAAGUCUUCUUCUCCACAAAUUCCACCAUGUCCACCAAACUAACUGUAGAAGUUCUUGAUGCAAGUGACCUUAUGCCCAAAGAUGGCCAAGGCUCUGCUAAUCCUUUUGUACAAGUUAGUUUUGAUGAACAACGACAAAGAACUCAAACCAAGCCCAAAGACCUUAACCCUUACUGGAAUGAGAAGCUUGUUUUCACUGUAAACGAUCCGAGAGAUCUCCCCAGCCAGACCAUUGAGGUUGUUGUUUACCAUGACCGC